UGGGGAAUAUUGGACAAUGGGGGAAACCCUGAUCCAGCCAUGCCGCGUGAGUGAUGAAGGCCCUAGGGUUGUAAAGCUCUUUUACCAGGGAUGAUAAUGACAGUACCUGGAGAAUAAGCUCCGGCUAACUCCGUGCCAGCAGCCGCGGUAAUACGGAGGGAGCUAGCGUUGUUCGGAAUCACUGGGCGUAAAGCGCGCGUAGGCGGCUGUUUAAGUCAGAGGUGAAAGCCCGGGGCUCAACCCUGGAACUGCCUUUGAAACUAGACAGCUAGAAUCCUGGAGAGGUGAGUGGAAUUCCGAGUGUAGAGGUGAAAUUCGUAGAUAUUCGGAAGAACACCAGUGGCGAAGGCGACUCACUGGACAGGUAUUGACGCUGAGGUGCGAAAGCGUGGGGAGCAAACAGGAUUAGAUACCCCCGUAGUCC
rnacentral:rRNA from 1 species